CUGAACCUGUGGCACUCGGAUGGCACAGGUGGUGGGUUGCGUGCGACUCCCAACGCAGAUGAGAAUAGCCCCGCGGGGACCAGAUGCUGAGCAGUGCUUUACCACCAUGGUCUCGGUGUGAAAAUGGUCCUGUACAGAGAGUAGACCCAUGGCUAGGCCUGGCCAGUCAAAUUCCUGCAUGAAUUUUAUGUAUAUAUGCUGAGGAGAGAGCGGCUUCCACUUACCUCUUGGAUCUCCAGGACCCAGCGAAUAGCAGGAAAGAGAAAAAUAAAACAAGAUCACCGUGCAGCACAGUACAGAGGACACCAAGGAUGGCCCUUUCUACAAUGAGCCACUGUGCUGCUUGAGCUGAAAUGGCUCUUCU